rnacentral:rRNA from 1 species
UACGUAGGGUGCAAGCGUUGUCCGGAAUUAUUGGGCGUAAAGAGCUCGUAGGCGGUUUGUCGCGUCUGCUGUGAAAACGCGAGGCUCAACCUCGCGCCUGCAGUGGGUACGGGCAGACUAGAGUGGCGGUAGGGGAGAUUGGAAUUCCUGGUGUAGCGGUGGAAUGCGCAGAUAUCAGGAGGAACACCGAUGGCGAAGGCAGGUCUCUGGGCUGACACUGACGCUCAUGCACGAA